rnacentral:rRNA from 1 species
UACGGAGGGUGCAAGCGUUACUCGGAAUUACUGGGCGUAAAGCGUGCGUAGGCGGUUCGUUAAGUCUGAUGUGAAAGCCCUGGGCUCAACCUGGGAAUGGCAUUGGAAACUGGCGACCUAGAGUGCGGUAGAGGGCAGUGGAAUUCCCGGUGUAGCAGUGAAAUGCGUAGAGAUCGGGAGGAACAUCUGUGGCGAAGGCGACUGCCUGGACCAGCACUGACACUGAGGCACGAAAGCGUGGGGAGCAAACAGG